rnacentral:rRNA from 1 species
UGGGGAAUAUUGGACAAUGGGGGGAACCCUGAUCCAGCCAUGCCGCGUGUGUGAAGAAGGCCUUAUGGUUGUAAAGCACUUUAAGCGAGGAGGAGGGUACUGGUAUUAAUACUACCAGCUACUGGACGUUACUCGCAGAAUAAGCACCGGCUAACUCUGUGCCAGCAGCCGCGGUAAUACAGAUGGUGCGAGCGUUAAUCGGAUUUACUGGGCGUAAAGCGUGCGUAGGCGGCUAAUUGAGUCGGAUGUGAAAUCCCCGAGCUUAACUUGGGAAUUGCAUUCGAUGCUGGUUAGCUAGAGUGUGGGAGAGGAUGGUAGAAUUCCAGGUGUAGCGGUGAAGUGCGUAGAGAUCUGGGGGAAUACCGAUGGCGAAGGCAGCCAUCUGGCCUAACACUGACGCUGAGGUACGAAAGCAUGGGGAGCAAACGGG